UAAUAAUACGUUCGUUAGUGUACCAUCGUCCAACUGCCCACCAAGUUUACAUACUAUCGUCGAAAAUUGACGAUAAUAACGCGAUUCGCAACUCUUAUAUAUAUUACAAAAUGUGCGAUAAAGGAGAAAUAAGACGAAGAAAUCCACCAACAUUUAUAAACACUCGGAUACUUUCAACGGUCUGUAGCGAUAAUACCAAUUCAUAAAAUUGCUUCAUAGAAAAUGUCUUAUAAAAAUAAAUAUGAUGUAAGAAGGACAGACACGAUGGACCACGAUCGCCAUUACAGAGUUCGUUUGGCACACGGUUUGAGAAACACUCGGCUCAUUUACCUUUUCUCGUCUCGUCUUAACUUUUCCAUCAUUUUACUAUAUACCAGCAAGGAUAAAUAAACGGAAAAGUUAUAAAAGAAGUCACCGUAGAUCGACAUAAUAUUCCCGUAAAUACCAAAGCUUUAAUUAGAACUAAAGAGGCGGCGAAGCUGCAG
rnacentral:misc_RNA from 1 species